GAUCAGUGGCGAACGGGUGAGUAACACGUGAGUAACCUGCCCUUGACUCUGGGAUAACUCCGGGAAACCGGGGCUAAUACUGGAUAUGAGACAUGAUCGCAUGGUCGGUGUCUGGAAAGUUUUCGGUCAAGGAUGGACUCGCGGCCUAUCAGCUUGUUGGUGGGGUAAUGGCUCACCAAGGCGUCGACGGGUAGCCGGCCUGAGAGGGCGACCGGCCACACUGGGACUGAGACACGGCCCAG
rnacentral:rRNA from 1 species